UUUUUGUGUCCUGCCAGGCACCGUGGUCUCAUCCGCCUGCACAGCUGAGUCCAGUGGGAGCUGACGCCAUGACCCUCACCCUCUCAGUCCUGAUUUGCCUCGGGCUGAGUGUGGGCCCCAGGACCUGCGUGCAGGCAGGCACCCUCCCCAAACCCACCCUCUGGGCUGAGCCAGCCUCUGUGAUAGCUCGGGGGAAGCCCGUGACCCUCUGGUGUCAGGGGCCCCUGGAGACUGAGGAGUACCGUCUGGAUAAGGAGGGACUCCCAUGGGCCCGGAAGAGACAGAACCCACUGGAGCCUGGAGCCAAGGCCAAGUUCCACAUUCCAUCCACGGUGUAUGACAGUGCAGGGCGAUACCGCUGCUACUAUGAGACCCCUGCAGGCUGGUCAGAGCCCAGUGACCCCCUGGAGCUGGUGGCGACAGGCGUGUCUAGGAAGCCCUCCCUCCUGAUCCCGCAGGGCUCUGUCGUGGCCCGCGGAGGCAGCCUGACCCUGCAGUGUCGCUCUGAUGUCGGCUAUGACAUAUUCGUUCUGUACAAGGAGGGGGAACAUGACCUCGUCCAGGGCUCUGGCCAGCAGCCCCAGGCUGGGCUCUCCCAGGCCAACUUCACCCUGGGCCCUGUGAGCCGCUCCCACGGGGGCCAGUACAGAUGCUACGGUGCACACAACCUCUCCCCUAGGUGGUCGGCCCCCAGCGACCCCCUGGACAUCCUGAUCGCAGGACUGAUCCCUGACAUACCCGCCCUCUCGGUGCAGCCGGGCCCCAAGGUGGCCUCAGGAGAGAACGUGACCCUGCUGUGUCAGUCAUGGCAUCAGAUAGACACUUUCUUUUUGACCAAGGAGGGGGCAGCCCAUCCCCCGCUGUGUCUAAAGUCAAAGUACCAGUCUUAUAGACACCAGGCUGAAUUCUCCAUGAGUCCUGUGACCUCAGCCCAGGGUGGAACCUACCGAUGCUACAGCGCAAUCAGGUCCUACCCCUACCUGCUGUCCAGCCCUAGUUACCCCC
rnacentral:misc_RNA from 1 species